rnacentral:rRNA from 1 species
GACGAACCGAGCGAACGUUGUUCGGAAUCACUGGGCUUAAAGGGCGCGUAGGCGGGCUGCCAAGUCCGUGGUGAAAUCCCCCGGCUCAACCGGGGAAGGGCCUCGGAUACUGGCGGCCUCGAGGGGGGUAGGGGCGUGCGGAACUGUGGGUGGAGCGGUGAAAUGCGUUGAUAUCCACAGGAACUCCGGUGGCGAAGGACGGCGACGGCUGGACCCCCAUCUGACGCUGAGGCGCGAAAGCCCAGGGGGAGCGGAACGGG